rnacentral:rRNA from 1 species
CGGGGUGAGUAACGCGUGGGUAACCUGCCUCAUACAGGGGGAUAACAGUUAGAAAUGACUGCUAAUACCGCAUAAGCGCACAGUACCGCAUGGUACAGUGUGAAAAACUCCGGUGGUAUGAGAUGGACCCGCGUCUGAUUAGCUGGUUGGUGAGGUAACGGCCCACCAAGGCGACGAUCAGUAGCCGACCUGAGAGGGUGACCGGCCACAUUGGGACUGAGACACGGCCCAG